UAGGAAGAAAAAAAUAAAACAUUUACACAAUUAAACUAACACAAGAUAUCUUACAUAACUGAGCCAUGCAUGUAACUGUGUGUUACAGAAGAGGAAGCAAUCACUGCUGGUCGAAAGAGAGGCAGAACUUGACAAGUGCCCAAGAUUAAGUAAAUGAAGAAAUGAAUGUGAGGCCAUCCCAGGUCAAUCUCUUGCCAACCUGCUGUUACCUGUUAAAGAUAAAUGCAAACAACUGCUGUGUUAUAACUAGUAGUCUGCAGACCUGGAGAGGACUUCAAAAGCAUACCAAGUACACUGAAAAAAUUCUUUAUGAAAAUAUUUCAUUUUUCAACUUAG
rnacentral:lncRNA from 1 species